AUUAAAAAUGACAAAUUUUUUAUUUUGUGACCUCUGGGAUUUAUGAGGGACAGUAACAAGAAAAGUUCAACAUUUCAUGAACAAAAAAAAAAACGUUUCUGAAAAUGCUUGAAGUGCUGCUGCCUUAGUUUGAUUUUAGCACUAAGAAACAACUGAGGUGUCCAUGUGUUAUCAGAAUCUUUCAUAUAAAGAGAACAUGUGCAUUAUAAAUCUUGGAUUUCUGCAUGAAGCCAGUCUUAAUACUGAAUAGAUUUACCCCAACAAAAUAAUCAGCACAACUGAACACUCAGUUGAAACAAAUAACCUGCACUGAUCUAUUUAAACUACCAAUCUAACUGCU